rnacentral:tRNA from 1 species
UGUCUUAUAUUCAAUUAUGAUAUAAAAUUGCAAAUUUUAAGAUAUAGAAAUUAGUUCUAUUAAGGCUU